rnacentral:rRNA from 1 species
UACAGAGGUCUCAAGCGUUGUUCGGAUUCAUUGGGCGUAAAGGGUGCGUAGGCGGCGCGGUAAGUCGGAUGUGAAAUCUCGGGGCUUAACUCCGAAACUGCAUUCGAUACUGCCGUGCUUGAGGACUGGAGAGGAGACUGGAAAUUUACGGUGUAGCGGUGAAAUGCGUAGAUAUCGUAAGGAAGACCAGUGGCGAAGGCGGGUCUCUGGACAGUUCCUGACGCUGAGGCACGAAGGCCAGGGGAGCAAACGGG